rnacentral:rRNA from 1 species
CCCGCACAAGCGGUGGAGUAUGUGGUUUAAUUCGAAGCAACGCGAAGAACCUUACCAGGUCUUGACAUACCGGGCAAAGCCCUAGAGAUAGGGAAAUAGUUAUGCCGGAUACAGGUGGUGCAUGGUUGUCGUCAGCUCGUGUCGUGAGAUGUUGGGUUAAGUCCCGCAACGAGCGCAACCCUCGACCUUAGUUGCCAGCAUUCAGUUGGGCACUCUAAGGUGACUGCCGGCUAAAAGUCGGAGGAAGUGGGGAUGACGUCAAGUCAUCAUGCCCCUUAUGACCUGGGCUACACACGUGCUACAAUGGGCGGUACAAAGGGUCGCGAACCCGCGAGGGGGAGCCAAUCCCAAAAAGCCGCUCUCAGUUCGGAUUGCAGGCUGCAACUCGCCUGCAUGAAGCCGGAAUCGCUAGUAAUCGCGGAUCAGCAUGCCCGCGUCGAAUACGUUCCGGCCUU